rnacentral:rRNA from 1 species
GACGAACGCUGGCGGCGUGCUUAACACAUGCCAGUCGAACGGAAAGGCCCUGCUUUUGUGGGGUGCUCGAGUGGCGAACGGGUGAGUAACACGUGAGUAACCUGCCCUUGACUUUGGGAUAACUUCAGGAAACUGGGGCUAAUACCGGAUAGGAGCUCCUGCUGCAUGGUGGGGGUUGGAAAGUUUCGGCGGUUGGGGAUGGACUCGCGGCUUAUCAGCUUGUUGGUGGGGUAGUGACUUACCAAGGCUUUGACGGGUAGCCGGCCUGAGAGGGUGACCGGCCACAUUGGGGCUGAGAUACGGCCCAGACUCCUACGGGAGGCAGCAGUGGGGAAUAUUGCACAAUGGGCGGAAGCCUGAUGCAGCAACGCCGCGUGCGGGAUGACGGCCUUCGGGUUGUAAACCGCUUUCGCCUGUGACGAAGCGUGAGUGACGGUAAUGGGUAAAGAAGCACCGGCUAACUACGUG